AUUGAACGCUGGCGGCAGGCCUAACACAUGCAAGUCGAACGAGUGGCGGACGGGUGAGUAAUGUCUGGGAAAAUGCCCGAUGGAGGGGGAUAACUACUGGAAACGGUAGCUAAUACCGCAUACCAUCGGAUGUGCCCAGAUGGGAUUAGCUUGGAGGUGAGGGAACGGCUCACCUAGGCGACGAGCCCUAGCUGGUCUGAGAGGAUGACCAGACACACUGGAACUGAGACACGGUCCAGGUGCCUACGGGAGGCAGAAGUGGGGAUGAGUGCACAAUGGGCGCAAGCCUGAUGCAGACAGGCCGCGUGUAUGAAGAAGGCCUUCGGGUUGUAAAGUACUUUCAGCGGGGAGGCGUUACCCGCAGAAGAAGCACCGGCUAACUCCGUGCCAGCAGCCUCUGUAAGAC
rnacentral:rRNA from 1 species